UGCCCUAGUAACGGCGAGUGAAGCGGCAAUAGCUCAAAUUUGAAAGCUGGCCUUCUGGUCCGCAUUGUAAUUUGUAGAGGAUGCUUUUAGGCAGCCGCCGGUCUAAGUUCCUUGGAACAGGACGUCAUAGAGGGUGAGAAUCCCGUAUGUGACCGGCUCUGGCACCUUAUGUAAAGCUCCUUCGACGAGUCGAGUUGUUUGGGAAUGCAGCUCUAAAUGGGAGGUAAAUUUCUUCUAAAGCUAAAUACUGGCGAGAGACCGAUAGCGCACAAGUAGAGUGAUCGAAAGAUGAAAAGCACUUUGGAAAGAGAGUUAAAAAGCACGUGAAAUUGUUGAAAGGGAAGCGCUUGCAAUCAGACUUGGACUUGGCUGUUCAACCGGUCUUCUGACCGGCCCACUCAGUCUUGUCCAGGCCAGCAUCAGUUUCGGCGGCCGGAUAAAGGCCCUGGGAAUGUAGCUGUCUCUUCGGGGACAGUGUUAUAGCCCAGGGUGUAAUACGGCCAGCCGGGACUGAGGUCCGCGCUCCGGCUAGGAUGCUGGCGUAAUGGUUGUAAGCGGCCCGUCUUGAAACACGGACCAAGGAGUCUAACAUCUAUGCGAGUGUUAGGGUGUCAAACCCUUACGCGUAAUGAAAGUGAACGGAGGUGGGAACCCGCAAGGGUGCACCAUCGACCGAUCCUGAUGUCUUCGGAUGGAUUUGAGUAAGAGCAUAGCUGUUGGGACCCGAAAGAUGGUGAACUAUGCCUGAAUAGGGUGAAGCCAGAGGAAACUCUGGUGGAGGCUCGCAGCGGUUCUGACGUGCAAAUCGAUCGUCAAAUUUGGGUAUAGGGGCGAAAGACUAAUCGAACCAU
rnacentral:rRNA from 1 species